CGGGAUGUGGCGCAGUCUGGUAGCGCGCACCCUUGGGGUGGGUGAGGUCGCAGGUUCGAAUCUUGUCAUCCCGACCA
rnacentral:tRNA from 1 species